rnacentral:rRNA from 1 species
AUUGAACGCUGGCGGCAGGCUUAACACAUGCAAGUCGAGCGAGCGGCGGACGGGUGAGUAAUGUCUGUGAAACUGCCUGAUGGUGGGGGAUAAUUACUGGAAACGGUAGCUAAUACUGCAUACCAUCAGAUGGGCCCAGAUGGGAUUAGCUAGUAGGUGGGGUAAUGGCUCACCUAAGAGACGAUCCCUAGCUGGUAUGAGAGGAUGACCAGCCACACUGGAACUGAGACACGGUCCAGGCUCCUACGGGAGGCAGCAGGGGGGAAGAUUGCACAGUGGGCGCAAGCCUGAUGCAGCCAUGCCGAGUGUGUUAAGAAGGCCUUCGGUUUGGAAAGCACUUUCAGCGAGGAGGCGUUACUCGCAGAAGAAGCACCGGCUAACUCCGUGCCAGCAGCCGCGGUAAUUC